CUACGGAGGGUGCAAGCGUUGUCCGGAUUUAUUGGGUUUAAAGGGUGCGUAGGUGGUUUUUUAAGUCAGUGGUGAAAGCCUACAGCUUAACUGUAGAGGUGCCAUUGAUACUGGGGAACUUGAGUAUGGACGAGGUAGGCGGAAUUUGUGGUGUAGCGGUGAAAUGCAUAGAUACCACAAGGAACACCGAUAGCGAAGGCAGCUUACUGGGCCAUAACUGACACUGAGGCACGAAAGCGUGGGGAGCGAACAGGAUUAGAAACCCUAGUAGUCC
rnacentral:rRNA from 1 species